rnacentral:rRNA from 1 species
UACGUAGGGGGGCUAGCGUUGUCCGGAAUCAUUGGGCGUAAAGAGCGUGUAGGCGGUCCGGUAAGUCCGCUGUGAAAGUCGGGGGCUCAACCCUCGGAUGCCGGUGGAUACUGCCGGGCUAGAGUACGGAAGAGGCGAGUGGAAUUCCUGGUGUAGCGGUGAAAUGCGCAGAUAUCAGGAGGAACACCAAUUGCGAAGGCAGCUCGCUGGGACGUUACUGACGCUGAGACGCGAAAGCGUGGGGAGCAAACAGG